rnacentral:lncRNA from 1 species
ACAGAGAGGUGCACAGGCCCCUGGAGACCGCGUCGUGGGACUUAAUUGCUUGUCCCCGGCCUGCUGCCAGGCGACCUCACAGUCCACCCCAUCUCCUUCCCCCCACUGCGGGGAGACUAGCAGGAGGCAGAUGAGGAUUCUCCCGCCCCAAGGAGAAUACAGCUGAGCCUCUGAGAUCAAACAGGAAGCUCCAGGUUUUCCGUGAACACACUGCGCUCACUAGCGACUCAGCUCCUCGGAAUGUCUCCUCCUCUGGGAACAGGGCUUCCUCUGACUGGUCCCUGAAGGAGAGGGCAGGUCUGUGAGGUCCAGCACCCAUCCACCCUAGCAGCUGUGCACCAACCCCAGGAGACCACGUGGUGCAAAGUCUGAAACACAGGAGCAGCUGGACAUCCUAAAGCCAGGGUGCAGAACUGGAUGUGUCCCCACAGGAUGCACAGCUGCAGCGCUAACCCUCAGCAGCAUGGCUCAGGAUGUGGGGCCUUCAGGAGGACAUGAGGGGUGGAUGAGGUCAUGGGAUGGGGUCCCUAUGCAGGAUUGGUAUCCUUAUGAAGAGGGGCAUGGACCAGAGAGCCCACUCUCCUUUCUUCUCUCCCACGCUCCAACAAAAAAGACAUCCUGUGAGCGCUCGCCCAGGUGACGGUCGCCUGCAAGCCAAGACAGGGGCCACAGAGGGAGACCUAUUUACAUCCAGAAAUUAGCUUAAUAUUCAAUAGAGACCUACUUUCAGCCUUAGAGAAAGGUGUGACAGUUCUAAUUCCAGGUCACCGUGUUCCUAAACCUUUUCUACAUGCUUCCCCCUUUAUUUCAAAUAGUACACAAAUGUCCUCAGGACACAAGCCAUCUUUCCUUCUUGUGCGACACAUCAUUGUGUAUUUCCUAAAAUACUUCCUUCAGGGUUGUUGAGAGAUACAUCACCGUGUCAGUUGAAGACCCAGGGCAUGACGGCUUCAUUUACACAUGUUCAGCCACAGAUACCUGCUCCUAUAGAUGCAGUAGAAAGAGUAAUAAUAAGGGAAAGAUGUCUCUCUUCGUGACUGGACCUCUUGGGAGCUAACUUGCCUGAAUCUUCCCACAUAGGUGUCAGCCACAGUCACCACAGGGCACAUCACACCUUCGUCCCAACCCGGCCCCCGACCCCACCCCUGGGAACCACAAGUCUGAUCUCUUUCUCUCUGAGUUGGAGUCUUUUUCUUCCUUUUCUGUCACAUCCCACACAUAAGUGAGAUCAUAUGGCAUUUGUCUUUGCAUAACUUACCUCACUUAGUGUAAUGCACUCGAGGUCUCCCUGUGGCUGAAUACGAUCCCAUUGAGUGUGUGUGUUGUGUGUGUGUGUGUAUGCACACCUCAUUCUCCUUUAUCUAUUCUCCAUCCACGGGCACCUGGGCUGUUUCCUCGUCUUGGCCAUUAUAAACAAUGGUGCCAGGAACACGGGGGUGCAGAUAGCCUUUCCUGUUAUUGUUUUUGUUACCUUUGGAUCUAUUCCCCAAACUGCCAUUGCUAGGUCAUAGGGUAGCUCUAUGUGUAACUCCUUGGGGACCCUCCACACUGUUUUCCACAGUACUGCACCAGCCUGCAUUCCCACCAGCAGGUAAGAGUUUCCCUUUUCUCCACAUCCUCACCAACACCUGUCAUUUCCCAACGUGUUAAUUUUAGCCAUCCUGACAGGUGUGAUAUGGCAUCUCAUUGUGGUUUUGAUUUGUAUUUCCCUGAUGGUGAGGGAUGUAGAGCAUCUUCUCAUGUGUCUGCUGGCCAUCUGGAUGUCUUCUGUUGAAAACAUCUAUUUGGGUCCUCUGCCCAUUUUUUUAAUUGGGUUACUGGUGGGGGGGAGGUUGUUUAUGUGUUUGUUUCUGUUUCUGCUAUUGAGUUGUAUGACUUCUUUGUAUGUUUUGGAUAUUCAAUCCAUUAUCUGAUACACGGUUUGCAAAUAUUUUUUU